rnacentral:tRNA from 1 species
ACCAGCCUGGUGCAGUGGUUUGAGUGUUAGACUAUGAUUUUGGAGACCAGGGUUUGAAUCCCAGCUCUGCCA